GAUGAAGAACGCAGUGAAAUGCGAUAAGUAAUGUGAAUUGCAGAAUUCAGUGAAUCAUCGAAUCUUUGAACGCACCUUGCGCCCUUUGGCCAUUCCGAAGGGCAUGCCUGUUUGAGUAUCAUGAACACCUCAACUCUUCAUGGUUUUCCAUGAUGAGCUUGGACUUUGGGGGUCUUGCUGGCCUGUGGGUCGGCUCCUCUCAAAUGAAUCAGCUUGCCGGUUUUUGGUGGGCAUCACAGGUGUGAUAACUAUCUACGCUUGUGGUUUUCCACCAGGGUAACCUUCAGCAGUGGAGGUUCACUGGAGCUUACAAAUGUCUCUCCUCUGUGAGGACAGCCCUUUGAAUGUUUGAUCUCAAAUCAGGUAGGACUACCCGCUGAACUUAAGCAUACAAUAAGCGGAGG
rnacentral:misc_RNA from 1 species